CAAUUUACCUGGUAGGGGACAUACCAUGAUCAAGAAUGUGGCUUUCUCAGGAAGAGUUUCCUCCAUUGAACUACAGAUGUUGUGACCUCUGAUCUCCCCAAUUUGAGAAACUGGACUGCGGAAUUAGUGGUUGUGGGAGACUUGGUGUUUUUCCCC